GAAUAUUGCACAAUGGAGGAAACUCUGAUGCAGCGACGCCGCGUGAGUGAUGAAGGUUUUCGGAUCGUAAAGCUCUGUCCUAAGGGAAGAUAAUGACGGUACCUUAGGAGGAAGCCCCGGCUAACUACGUGCCAGCAGCCGCGGUAAUACGUAGGGGGCGAGCGUUAUCCGGAUUUAUUGGGCGUAAAGGGUACGCAGGCGGCUAUAUAAGUCAGGUGUGAAAGGCAGUGGCUCAACCACUGCAAGCACUUGAAACUGUAUAGCUUGAGUACUGGAGAGGAAAGUGGAAUUCCUAGUGUAGCGGUGAAAUGCGUAGAUAUUAGGAGGAACACCAGUGGCGAAGGCGACUUUCUGGACAGAUACUGACGCUGAGGUACGAAAGCGUGGGGAGCAAACAGG
rnacentral:rRNA from 1 species